AACAAGACCAAGAGCCUUCAAAGCCCUUAGUAAGUAAAAACACUUAAUUUCUG
rnacentral:tRNA from 1 species